rnacentral:rRNA from 1 species
UCAGAUUGAACGCUGGCGGCAGGCCUAACACAUGCAAGUCGAGCGGUAGAGAGAAGCUUGCUUCUCUUGAGAGCGGCGGACGGGUGAGUAAUGCCUAGGAAUCUGCCUGGUAGUGGGGGAUAACGUUCGGAAACGGACGCUAAUACCGCAUACGUCCUACGGGAGAAAGCAGGGGACCUUCGGGCCUUGCGCUAUCAGAUGAGCCUAGGUCGGAUUAGCUAGUUGGUGAGGUAAUGGCUCACCAAGGCGACGAUCCGUAACUGGUCUGAGAGGAUGAUCAGUCACACUGGAACUGAGACACGGUCCAGACUCCUACGGGAGGCAGCAGUGGGGAAUAUUGGACAAUGGGCGAAAGCCUGAUCCAGCCAUGCCGCGUGUGUGAAGAAGGUCUUCGGAUUGUAAAGCACUUUAAGUUGGGAGGAAGGGCAGUUGCCUAAUACGUAACUGUUUUGACGUUACCGACAGAAUAAGCACCGGCUAACUCUGUGCCAGCAGCCGCGGUAAUACAGAGGGUGCAAGCGUUAAUCGGAAUUACUGGGCGUAAAGCGCGCGUAGGUGGUUUGUUAAGUUGGAUGUGAAAUCCCCGGGCUCAACCUGGGAACUGCAUUCAAAACUGACUGACUAGAGUAUGGUAGAGGGUGGUGGAAUUUCCUGUGUAGCGGUGAAAUGCGUAGAUAUAGGAAGGAACACCAGUGGCGAAGGCGACCACCUGGACUGAUACUGACACUGAGGUGCGAAAGCGUGGGGAGCAAACAGGAUUAGAUACCCUGGUAGUCCACGCCGUAAACGAUGUCAACUAGCCGUUGGAAGCCUUGAGCUUUUAGUGGCGCAGCUAACGCAUUAAGUGA